GUGGGGAAUAUUGGACAAUGGGGGGAACCCUGAUCCAGCCAUGCCGCGUGUGUGAAGAAGGCCUUUUGGUUGUAAAGCACUUUAAGUGAGGAGGAGGCUACCGAGAUUAAUACUCUUGGAUAGUGGACGUUACUCGCAGAAUAAGCACCGGCUAACUCUGUGCCAGCAGCCGCGGUAAUACAGAGGGUGCAAGCGUUAAUCGGAUUUACUGGGCGUAAAGCGCGCGUAGGUGGCCAAUUAAGUCAAAUGUGAAAUCCCCGAGCUUAACUUGGGAAUUGCAUUCGAUACUGGUUGGCUAGAGUAUGGGAGAGGAUGGUAGAAUUCCAGGUGUAGCGGUGGAAUGCGUAGAGAUCUGGAGGAAUACCGAUGGCGAAGGCAGCCAUCUGGCCUAAUACUGACACUGAGGUGCGAAAGCAUGGGGAGCAAACAGGAUUAGAUACCCGAGUAGUCC
rnacentral:rRNA from 1 species